rnacentral:tRNA from 1 species
GGCGCCAUCGUAUAGCGGUUAGUACGAGGGGCUCUCAAUCCCUAAGUAGGGGUUCGACUCCCCUUGGCGCUACCA